rnacentral:tRNA from 1 species
GGCGCCGUAGCACAGUUGGUUAGCGCGCCUGCUUGUAACCCAGAGGUAAUGGGUUCAAGGCUUAUCGCUGCUA